ACUAAGAGUGGUUCACCGAACCUCCAGGUUCAGGGGUUCAGCUCAGGGCUAACAAACCUGAGUGGUCAAACAAAAUUGUUACGGAAACAGCAAUGAAAGAUCCUUCUACAUCUGAGGGCAGCGGUAUUCCUAAGUCUCCACCCAGGAUUUGCAUGACCGACAGUGAAAACUGAGAAGAAGCUAUUGACACGAUGAAGAAAGCUCUGAACACUGCCAGAGAUGGAGGACCCUCAUUGCUGCCCCUAAAUGGGCAGUAAAGGUGGUCGUUGUCGGUUGGAAAACAAUUUAAGCUGUAUCACCAGUUACCCUUGAGAAGGUGGUGAGGAGCUACUUUCUUGAACUGUUCGAUACUUCUGGUGAAGGUGCUUCCACAGUGCUGAUGGGGAGGUUUUAAACCCAGUGAAGAUAUAUUUCCAAGUCAAAACGCAAUGCUGAGCUGCGAUACCCGGACCUUGAAUGCUGACGUCCUGUGAGGGAUUAUCCGAGCUGCCAAAUGUGGUCUUCCCUGUGAGGAAAGAUUGAGAAGAAUGUCAGGAGACUCACUCUUCAUUUAUACAUACCAGAUGAUAACGGAGGCAAAGGCCACUGUAAAACAAGAAAGCCUUGGUGCUCCAAAUCCUCUCCGCUCUCCACCACCCACUCCCAUAUUCCUGCUCCCCAACAGAGAGAAACAUUUGGAGAUGAAAGAGUCUGGAACUUGGAACAAAAGAUUAACCGCUGGAGGUUCUCAGCAGGUCAGGCAGCAGCUGAGAAAGGAAAUAGACAGCUGACAUUUUAGGUCAAGAUCCUUCAUCUGGCAGACAGAGUCAUCUGCUUUGAUAUGGUCUGUCCAACCAGGCAGUAAGUUUAAAUGGACUGCUUCACCAUGGGGAGUAUGUGCACUGGGGGCUGACACUCUCCUUACUGAAUACUAGAAGUAGGAACCUUGUCACUUGGCCACAACCAGGACGAGGGAACUGAGUCCAAAUAUACCAUCCUCUGUACUGUCACAGGGUAUGUACAGCACAGAAAAUGGCCCUCUGGCCAUUAAAGAUCAAAGACUAAAGACUUUCUGGGGAAAGGCCACAGUCUGGAGUGUUGCAGCCACUGGACACUGAGGGGCUGGGUUCUGUGCGUAUA